GACGAACGCUGGCGGCGUGCUUAACACAUGCAGGUCGAACGGAAAGGCCUGCUUUCCCUUGUGGAUUGCGGGUACUCGAGUGGCGAACGGGUGAGUAACACGUGAGUGAUCUGCCCCCAACUUGGGUAUAAGCCUGGGAAACUGGGUCUAAUUCCCGAUAGGACUGCAGGGUGGUGCCUGUGGUGGAAAACGAUUUUCUAGUGGUUGGGGAUGAGCUCGCGGCCUAUCAGCUUGUUGGUGGGGUAAUGGCCUACCAAGGCGGCGACGGGUAGCCGGCCUGAGGGGGUGGACGGCCACAUUGGGACUGAGAUACGGCCCAGACUCCUACGGGAGGCAGCAGUGGGGAAUAUUGCACAAUGGGCGGAAGCCUGAUGCAGCGACGCCGCGUGGGGGAUGACGGCCUUCGGGUGGUAAACUCCUUUCGACCGCGAGGAAGCCACCUGGUUGGAAGGGUGGUGACGGUAGUGGUAGAAGAAGCACCGGCUAACUACGUG
rnacentral:rRNA from 1 species